GGUUAAGCGACUAAGCGUACACGGUGGAUGCCCUGGCAGUCAGAGGCGAUGAAGGACGUGCUAAUCUGCGAAAAGCGCCGGCGAGGUGAUAUGAACCCUUGACCCGGCGAUGUCCGAAUGGGGAAACCCAGUGCAAUCCGUUGCACUAUCGUUAACUGAAUACAUAGGUUAACGAGGCGAACCGGGGGAACUGAAACAUCUAAGUACCCCGAGGAAAAGAAAUCAACCGAGAUUCCCCCAGUAGCGGCGAGCGAACGGGGAGCAGCCCGGAGUCUGAAUCAGCUUGUGUGUUAGUGGAACGGUCUGGAAAGUCCGACGGUACAGGGUGAUAGUCCCGUACACGAAAAUGCACAUGCUGUGAACUCGAAGAGUAGGGCGGGACACGUGGUAUCCUGUCUGAAUAUGGGGGGACCAUCCUCCAAGGCUAAAUACUCCUGACUGACCGAUAGUGAACCAGUACCGUGAGGGAAAGGCGAAAAGAACCCCGGCGAGGGGAGUGAAAAAGAACCUGAAACCGUGUACGUACAAGCAGUGGGAGCCUCUUUAUGGGGUGACUGCGUACCUUUUGUAUAAUGGGUCAGCGACUUAUAUUCUGUAGCAAGGUUAACCGUAUAGGGGAGCCGAAGGGAAACCGAGUCUUAACUGGGCGUUAAGUUGCAGGGUAUAGACCCGAAACCCGGUGAUCUAGCCAUGGGCAGGUUGAAGGUUGGGUAACACUAACUGGAGGACCGAACCGACUAAUGUUGAAAAAUUAGCGGAUGACCUGUGGCUGGGGGUGAAAGGCCAAUCAAACCGGGAGAUAGCUGGUUCUCCCCGAAAGCUAUUUAGGUAGCGCCUCGUGAACUCAUCUUCGGGGGUAGAGCACUGUUUCGGCUAGGGGGCCAUCCCGGCUUACCAACCCGAUGCAAACUACGAAUACCGAAGAAUGUUAUCACGGGAGACACACGGCGGGUGCUAACGUCCGUCGUGAAGAGGGAAACAACCCAGACCGCCAGCUAAGGUCCCAAAGUCAUGGUUAAGUGGGAAACGAUGUGGGAAGGCACAGACAGCCAGGAUGUUGGCUUAGAAGCAGCCAUCAUUUAAAGAAAGCGUAAUAGCUCACUGGUCGAGUCGGCCUGCGCGGAAGAUGUAACGGGGCUAAACCAUG
rnacentral:rRNA from 1 species